UACGAAGGGGGGCUAGCGUUGCUCGGAAUCACUGGGCGUAAAGCGCACGUAGGCGGAUCUUUAAGUCAGGGGUGAAAUCCCAAGGCUCAACCUUGGAACUGCCUUUGAUACUGGGGAUCUCGAGUCCGGAAGAGGUGAGUGGAACUGCGAGUGUAGAGGUGAAAUUCGUAGAUAUUCGCAAGAACACCAGUGGCGAAGGCGGCUCCACUGGUCCGGUACUGACGCUGAGGUGCGAAAGC
rnacentral:rRNA from 1 species